rnacentral:tRNA from 1 species
GGUCUUAAGUUUAUAUAUAUUAAAUUGCAAAUUUAAAGAGGAUGUUUAGUCUAAGACUU